rnacentral:misc_RNA from 1 species
GAACGCAACUUGCGCUCUCUGGUAUUCCGGAGAGCAUGCCUGUUUGAGUGUCAUGAAAUCUCAACCAUUAGGGUUUCUUAAUGGCUUGGAUUUGGGUGUUGCCAGUCUCUGGCUCGCCUUAAAGGAGUUAGCGAGUUUAACAAUGUCGUCUGGCGUAAUAAGUUUCGCUGGUAAGACUUGUGAAGUUUGCUUCUAAUCGUCUUCGGACAAUUACUUUGACUCUGGCCUCAAAUCAGGUAGGACUACCCGCUGAACUUAAG